AAACAUGUCUCUUUGAUUUAUUUUAAUAAAGAGUUGGGCCUGCUCGGUGAUUAAUAUUUAACAGCUGCGGUAUUAUAACUGUACUAAGGUAGCAUAAUAAUUUGCCUUAUAAAUUGAGGCUAGAAUGAAUGGUUUGACGAAAAUUAUACUGUCUCUGUCUUAUUUAUUAGAAGUUAAUUUUUAUAGUGAGAAAGCUUGGAUAAUUUAAAGGGACGAAAAGACCCUAUUGAGCUUUAUAUUAUACUUUAAAAUUAUUUAUUGUUUUUAUUUAAAUAUAAUUUUGGUUGGGGUGAUCAAGGAAUAAAUAAUUAAUUUUAACUUCCUUAAUUUGUUUAUAGUUAUAUGAAUAAACCAAAUUUUUUGCUUAGAAGAUAAGUUACCAUAGGGAUAACAGCGUAAUUUUUUUUGAAAGUUCAUAUUGAAAAAAGAGAUUGCGACCUCGAUGUUGGAUUAAAAUAACCUUAAGGUGAAGAGGCUUUAAUUGGUGAAUCUGUUCGAUUUUUAAAAUUUUACGUGAUCU
rnacentral:rRNA from 1 species